CCUACGGGGGGCAGCAGUGGGGAAUAUUGCACAAUGGGGGAAACCCUGAUGCAGCCAUGCCGCGUGUGUGAAGAAGGCCUUCGGGUUGUAAAGCACUUUCAGCGGGGAGGAAGGCGUUAAGGUUAAUAACCUUGGCGAUUGACGUUACCCGCAGAAGAAGCACCGGCUAACUCCGUGCCAGCAGCCGCGGUAAUACGGAGGGUGCAAGCGUUAAUCGGAAUUACUGGGCGUAAAGCGCACGCAGGCGGUCUGUCAAGUCGGAUGUGAAAUCCCCGGGCUCAACCUGGGAACUGCAUUCGAAACUGGCAGGCUAGAGUCUCGUAGAGGGGGGUAGAAUUCCAGGUGUAGCGGUGAAAUGCGUAGAGAUCUGGAGGAAUACCGGUGGCGAAGGCGGCCCCCUGGACGAAGACUGACGCUCAGGUGCGAAAGCGUGGGGAGCAAACAGGAUUAGAUACCCGGGUAGUC
rnacentral:rRNA from 1 species